GUGCUAAUACAUGCAAGUCGAGCGAAUGACGAGGAGCUUGCUCCUCUGAUUUAGCGGCGGACGGGUGAGUAACACGUGGGUAACCUGCCUGUAAGACGGGGAUAACUUCGGGAAACCGAAGCUAAUACCGGAUAAUAAAGAGAAACUCCUGUUUCUUUUUUGAAAGUCGGUUUCGGCUGACGCUUACAGAUGGGCCCGCGGCGCAUUAGCUAGUUGGUGAGGUAACGGCUCACCAAGGCCACGAUGCGUAGCCGACCUGAGAGGGUGAUCGGCCACACUGGGACUGAGACACGGCCCAGACUCCUACGGGAGGCAGCAGUAGGGAAUCUUCGGCAAUGGACGAAAGUCUGACCGAGCAACGCCGCGUGAGCGAUGAAGGCCUUCGGGUCGUAAAGCUCUGUUGUCAGAGAAGAACAAGUACCGGAGUAACUGCCGGUACCUUGACGGUACCUGACCAGAAAGCCACGGCUAACUACGUGCCAGCAGCCGCGGUAAUACGUAGGUGGCAAGCGUUAUCCGGAAUUAUUGGGCGUAAAGCGCGCGCAGGCGGUUCCUUAAGUUCUGAUGUGAAAGCCCACGGGCUCAACCGUGGGCAGCGGUUCAUUGG
rnacentral:rRNA from 1 species